rnacentral:rRNA from 1 species
UGGUGGAGUGAUUUGUCUGGUUAAUUCCGUUAACGAACGAGACCUCAGCCUGCUAAAUAGUGGCGUGAACACUUGUGUUCUCGUACCACUUCUUAGAGGGACAUUCGGUUUCGAGCCGAAGGAAGUUUGAGGCAAUAACA